CCUGUCCUUCCUACAAUUAUUCUUCAGAAUACUUGGAUCAUCGUGCAAAGCUAAUGUUCCAUAGAGCACAGUUAAGGAAUAUGGAAAUAAGACUUUCUUCCUCGUGACAUGUAAGCAGCAGACCAGCCAGCAGCUUUGUAAACACUGUUUUUGAGACUGGAUCUCUCACUUGUGUGGAGCUCACUGAUUGGCUAGACAAGUUGUAUGGCAAGCCUCAGGAUUCUCCCAACUUUCUCCUCAGUGUGGGGGAUUACAGGACGAGUCUACAAUGUCACCCAGCAGGCCAUGGGCAUCAGUAUAAACAAGCAAGUUAAGGGCAAGAGUCUGGCCAAGAGGAUCAAUGUGCGGAUUGAGCACAUCAAGCGCUUGAAGAGCAGAGACAGCUUCCUGAGGCGGGUGAAGCAGAACGAUCAGAAGAAAAAGGAAGCCAAAGAGAAGGGCACCUGGGUGCAGCUGAGGCGCCAGCCUGUGCCACCCAGAGAAGCACGCUUUGUGAGGACUAACAGAAAAGAACCUGAGCUGUUGGAGCCCAUUCCGUAUGAAUUCGUGGCCUAACGUACACAAAAGAAAUAAAAUACCAGGA